rnacentral:misc_RNA from 1 species
AACAUGUCUGGACCCUGCCCUCAUAUCACCUGCGUUUCCGUUAAACUAUCGGUUGCGGCCAUAUCUACCAGAAAGCACCGUUUCCCGUCCGAUCAACUGUAGUUAAGCUGGUAAGAGCCUGACCGAGUAGUGUAGUGGGUGACCAUACGCGAAACUCAGGUGCUGCAAUCU